UAUAAAACGAGUAAGUCCUCUAAAGCCUUGCUACUCAAUGUUGAUUCACCUGGGAGCUUGUUAAAAAAUGCAGAAUGGCAGGCCCCACCUCAGACCAACUGAAUCACAAUCUGCAUUUAGCAAAGGUGCACUUGUGUGCACAGUAAAGUCUGAGAAGUCCUGCAAUGCAGUAUUGUCACAGCUGUAUAGUCAGUGUCAUUGUGGAAGACAAAGGAAGCAGAGGUCGCUUUUCCAGAAUGGGAAUAGAUAUUUUAGGAAAUGCUUCAUAGGUAGCGAUGCCUGAGCUGGGUCUUACGAAAGUAUGGAUAUUUGCCAGGGAGACAAGAAGUAAAGGUAGCUUACAGAAAGAGAGAAGGAAGCAUAGACUGUGGCUGCAAGAGAAGCCUGAAGCAACUCCAUGUUUUUAGAGAAGCACAGGGAUGUCAAUGGAGAGCAGAUGGAAGCAGAUGUCCCACAAUGAUACUGGGACACAUCUGUGGACAGGAGUCUGGCCAACCACCAGGUCAGUUAAGGGUUUUGGAUCUAUUCUGUGAACCAGUGCUUUAGUCUUGGCUACAAAUUAUAAUUACUCUGGAAAACUGAAUACAGAUACUUGGGCCCUGCUCUCAGAAACUCUGGUUUAAUUGGUCCGGGAUGAGAUUUUUUUUUUUAAGUUCCCUAGGUGAUGCAGAUGUGUGCAGAAUGGAUUGAGUCCACUGUUUUAGGCAAUUGAAAGCCUUUGACAGGUUUUAAGUAGGAAAGUAGAGUGAUCCAAACACUGUGUUGGUGUCCAGAGACUGCUCAUAUAGGAGAGAUAAUGUGGAUGUGAGCCAGAGGAAACCUAAAGGGACCAGAAUCAGCGCUGGCAGAGGCGGCAUGCAGGGCUGUGGGUGUACUCAGCUGUGCAGAGCUGAUUAUAGAAGAUGAAAGGGCUUGGCAAUUUAUUUCAUCUCACACUGAAGCACUGCUGACAACUGAAAGUGAGGACAGAAGGAUUCAUUUGUUCAACUUCUGUUUUAAAAAACAGACUUCAAAUGAUACCACAGAGAAAAAGGAGGAAACGCUGCAGUGUAAUAAAAUGUCUAUUUUUAAAAAACACACUAGCUGCAGCAUUUUUAUUUCAUAGGUGGGUUUGAAGGCAAAGGGGUUGGCUUUUUUGUGGUUGUUAUCAAUUCCAGGGAAUGUGACAUGCACGCAGGAUCAAUUACUAAUCAAAUAGACCACGUUCACCUAAUCUGACCAAAGCUCUCGUGUACAUUCAUCCUUGAGUCCAAAGAUGAGUCACAGUGAGGAAAACCUAACCCUGCAGUGUUUAAAUACUUCCUAUGCAGGAUCUUUAUACUAAAACUGAAUAAAUGUAUGAUAUAUGAUGGAGAAUCUAUUUUAAAUUUUAUAAUCCUGGUCAUCUUAAUUUUUA
rnacentral:lncRNA from 1 species